ensembl:lncRNA
UGAGCAAUUCUAUGAUUCUAUGACUUCUCAUACACAGAUGGAGCCAUGAUCCCUCUUCCACCACUAUCUUCACACCUGUCUCUUGAAAGAGGCAGUCUGAUUUACCAAGGAAUUUGCUGAAGGGGAGCAUCUGGUCUAUCAAGGAAAUGAGUUAAACCUGUGCUCACAUCACACAAUAAAGGCUGGAGCCCAGCUGAGUUGGCACAGUGCAUUUGAGGUAACUGCAGACCACGGAGUGUGUUGGUGUUCAGGGAAUAUACCUUGACAACAAAAGCAGUAGAUAAACUGGUGGAAGGAGUCCUUACACAGAGAAGAGUUCUAAAAUCACAGUGGUUUGAAGUGAUCGGUCUCUGUCAUGUUUCUGGACGGGCUGACUCAGCUGCUUCAGUGAAGAGUAAGCAGCUUCAGGAAGGAGAGAGGACCGUCCUCUCUGUCUCCGUCUGUGCAUCUGAAGAUCCAGAGCAGACUCUGCAGUUAUUUGCUGAUGUUCGGCCAGCCCUGUGCUCACACAGAUCCUUUGUGAAAAGGAGGAAAAAAGUAG